rnacentral:rRNA from 1 species
GACGAACGCUGGCGGCGUGCUUAACACAUGCAAGUCGAACGGUAAGGCCCUUCGGGGUACACGAGUGGCGAACGGGUGAGUAACACGUGGGUGAUCUGCCCUGCACUUCGGGAUAAGCCUGGGAAACUGGGUCUAAUACCGGAAAGGACCACGGCCUGCAUGUGCGGUGGGGGAAAGCUUUUGCGGUGUGGGAUGGGCCCGCGGCCUAUCAGCUGAUUGGUGGGGGGGUGGCCUUCCAAGGCGACGACGGUUAGACGGCCGGGGAGGGUGGCCGGCCACGCUAGGACUGAGAUAGGGCCCGGACGCCUACGGGAGGCAGCAGUGGGGAAUAUUGCACAAUGGGCGCAAGCAUGAUGCAGCGACGCCGCGUGAGGGAUGACGGCCUUCGGGUUGUAAUCCUCUUUCAGCACCGACGAAGCGGAAGUGACGGUAGGUGCAGAAGAAGGACCGGCCAACUACGUGCCAGCAGCCGCCGCGG